rnacentral:rRNA from 1 species
AACGAACGCUGGCGGCAGGCCUAACACAUGCAAGUCGAGCGAGGACUUCGGUCCUAGCGGCGGACGGGUGAGUAACGCGUGGGAACGUGCCCUUUGCUUCGGAAUAUCCCUGGGAAACUGGGCGUAAUACCGGAUGAGCCCUUUGGGGGAAAGAUUUAUCGGCGAAGGAUCGGCCCGCGUUGGAUUAGGUAGUUGGUGGGGUAAGGGCCUACCAAGCCGACGUUCCAUAGCUGGUUUGAGCGGAUGCUCAGCCACACUGGGACUGGGACACGGCCCCGACUCCUACGGGAGGCAGGAGUGGGGAAUCUUAGCCAAUGGGGGAAACCCUGAUCUAGCCAUGCCGCGUGAGCGAUGAAGGCCUUAGGGUUGCAAAGCUCUUUCAGCUGGGAAGAUAAUGACGGUACCAGCAGAAGAAGCCCCGGCUAACUCCGUG